rnacentral:rRNA from 1 species
AUAGCGAAGUAGUACCGUCAGGGAAAGGUGAAAAGAACCCCUUUAGGGGAGUGAAAUAGAAUAUGAAAUCCUUAGUUAACAAGAUGUAGGAGGGGGAAUAACUCCUGACUGCGUGCCUGUUGAAGAAUGAGCCGGCGACUUAUAGAUUGUGGCUUGAUUAAAGAUUUGUAUAUUUUUCUGUAGUCAAAGCGAAAGCGAGUUUGAAUAAAAGCGAAUUAGUCAUCAUUUAUAAACUCGAACCCGGGUGAUCUAACCAUGACCAGAGUGAAGCUUAGGUAAAACUGAGUGGAGGCUCGAACUGACCGAUGUUGAAAAAUCGGCAGAUGAGUUGUGGUUAGCGGAGAAAUUCCAAUCGAACUCGGAGCUAGCUAGUUCUCCCCGAAAUGUGUUGAGGCGCAGCGAUAGUCGAGGGAUUGUUCAUAGGGGUAAAGCACUGUUUCGGUGCGGGCUGUGAAAACGGUACCAAAUCGANGCAAACUNAGAAUACUAUNCAUAUUUUCCGAUNAUNAGUGAGACNGUGGGGGAUAAGCUUCAUUGUCAAGAGGGAAACAACCCAGANCANAGAUUAAGGCCCCUAAAUGACUACUAAGUGNAAAAGGANGUAAUAUAUACUAAGACAACUAGAAGGUUUGCUUAGAAGCAGCAAUCCUUNAAAGAGUGCGUAAUAGCUCACUAGUUAAGUGUUGUUGCACCGAAAAUGAAUGGGACUAAGUAGAUCUGCCGAAUUCGUGGGAAAUUCUUAUCGAGAAUUAUCGGUAGGGGAGCGUUCUAUAAUAGGAUAAAGUAAAAAUGAAAGUUUUUAUGGACAAAAUAGAAGUGAGAAUGUCGGCUUGAGUAACGAAAACACCGGUGAGAAUCCGGUGCCCCGAAAACCUAAGGGUUCCUUCACAAGGCUCGUCCUUGGAGGUUAAGUCAGGUCCUAAGGUCAGGUCGAAAGACGUAGCCGAUGGAAAACAGGUUAAUAUUCCUGUACUUGUCUUAUGGUAUGUCAAGGGACGAAGAAUGAAUAUGUUGGUCCAAAUUAUGGAAUUUUGGUAAAAACUCUUGAAGCAAAGAUAGUACGAAGAAAAACGUAUUUAAGCUAAAAGAUCAUUUUGAUCAACAAUUUCUUUAUUUUAUAAAGGGGCUGUUGGUUCAGCAAAUUUUAUUCUUCCAAGAAAAGCUUGAAUCAUUCUUACAUAAGACAAUCUGUACCCGAAACUGGCACAAGUAGGUAGGUAUGAUAUACUAAGGGGCUCGAGAUACUUCUCUCUAAGGAACUCGGCAAAAUGACUCCGUAACUUCGGGAUAAGGAGUGCCUCUUCUACGGAAGAGGUUGCAGUGAAUAGGCCCAGGCGACUGUUUACCAAAAACACAGGUCUCCGCAAAAUUGUAAGAUGAUGUAUGGGGGCUGACGCCUGCCCAGUGCCGGAAGGUGAAAGAAGUUGGUGAAAGCUAGCGACUGAAGUCCCGGUGAACGGCGGCCGUAACUAUGACGGUCCUAAGGUAGCGAAAUUCCUUGCGGGGUAAGUUCCCGCCUGCACGAAAGGCGUAACGAUCUGGGCNCUGUCUNGGAGAGAAUCUCGGUGAAAUAAACAUAUCUGUGAAGAUGCGGAUUUUUUAUACCUGGACAGAAAGACCCUAUGAAGCUUGACUGUAAUCUGUGAUUGGAUCUGGGCUUUUCUUGCGCAGUCUAAGUGGGAGGCGUUGAUUAUUUCUUUUCGGAGAAAUAUGAGCCAGUCGUGAGAGACCACUCUAGAAAAGUCGAGAUUCUAAAGAUAGUCCUUGAAUCAGGAUAUCUGACAUUCUCAGGUGGACAGUUUCACUGGGGCGGUGACCUCCUAAAGAGUAACGGAGGUGUACAAAGGUUCCUU